rnacentral:misc_RNA from 1 species
UGAAUCAAGGGCACUACAAAACAAUCUUAAUAGAAUCUUAGAUUAUCUCUUCAUUACAAUGGACAGUACAUAACAAAAACAAAGGCUACACUCCCUCAACAAAAAGGAUGAGAAAUGUAAUCUCUACUUCCAUCAUAUCAAAGCUUAAUUGUAGUUCCUCACCACUGUGCAAGCCAAGCUACAGGCAAAAACUCCAUCUACUCAAACAAACUUCUAUGAAAGAUUCACACAAUAAAAUUACAAAGUUGUGUUAAUCCUCCUCUAUUAAAGUUUUCU